GAAGGCUUCUAAGAGUUAGCUUAUAAAAGUAUACCACCCAGUAAUAUCAAAAAGUUCUCUGGAGCCAUAAGGGAAUUGUACAAAGCUUCCUAAGUUGCCAACUCUUGACAGAAAUUGAAUAUGGCAAAAGGGAAAAUUGUUGCUCCUGUCUCACAAGCCUAACUGCCAUGUUUCCACACAGCCCAAUGGUGUGGUUGCCAUCCUAGGGCUGUGUGGUUGCCAUGCUAGGGCUGUGUGGUUGCCAUCCUAGGGCUGUGUGGUUGCCAUGCUAGGGCUGUGUGGUUGCCAUCCUAGGGCUGUGUGGUUGCCAUCCUAGGGCUGUGUGGUUGCCAUCCUAGGGCUGUGCAUAGAAAAAUUCACUAAUUCAUCCAUGUAAGGAUAUUGCUUUAUCCUCUGCUCUUUGACUUCCCAAACCUUGGAGACAGAUGCAUCUGACAGCAUUUCCUCCAAAUCUUCACUUGUUGUGGGAUAUUUGUACACUGUGAUUGGUGCAAUAAAAAGCUGAACAGCCAAUAGCUAAGCAGGAGAGAUAGGCAGGACUUCCAAGCAGAGAGAGACUGCUGGGAAAAAGGCAGAGUCACUAACCAGAUACAGAGGAAGCAGGAUGGGCAGUACUGAGUUAAGCAACCAUUUCCAACGAAGCCACCUAGGAAGGAGAGGAACAGUUGGGACAUGUCCCAUCAGUACUUGGGACACUUUCCUGUGGGAGACCCUCCUAUUUAUAAAGCCAGACCAGGAAAAACCUGUCUCAAGCAAUGGUGGGGACAGCUAUUUGCAAGCCAGCUGUCAGCAGCAGCAGGAAACAUAACUCAAUGUGACCAGUUCUGCAGCUUGAGAAUUCCUUCCAGGAUCAUCACUCAGGUGUAGCCAGGAUCUUCACACACACACACACACACACACACACACACACACACAAUUUCAAGGUAAGCCUGAAGUAAAAGACAAGAGUGUGUAUGUACAAAAGGGUAGGUACAGCUUCGGUAGAGAAAAAGAGAACAAGGUAUGUCUUAACGAUGGCUGUGUCUAUUUCACAAUGGGAUACUUGACUUUUGAGUUACACUCUUUAAAAAAAAAACCCACCUAGUCUACAAAACUAGCUAAAAAUAAUGGAUUAAGAAAAAAGCAGUGUUUGGGUAUGCUUAUCUAGGAAAGGUGGGGUUUUCUUGUAAAUGAGAUUAUAAGUCGAUUUAUGACUUCAUUGCUUAAGUUUCCAGAUAAGAGGGGAUGGCUGAUAAGAUAAAAUCUCAGUCUAAAAGGUCAAAGGAGUUCCUACUCUACACAGAUCUUCCAAGGGUCAAGAUGUACGCUUGGUAACUAACAUGGUCAGAACUAUGUGUGCAACUUUCUCAGAGGAAAAGAAAAAAAAAAAGGAUAGCACUUUGCAGGAAAUUUCAUCAGCCGUGUUGAAAUUCUUGACUCACAGCCAACAAAAGACUAGAGGCUGGCUGGGCUCUUUUCUUUUCUCAUCGUUGCCUUGAUUCUCCCUAUCUUCCGUCUUCUGUACAUGGUUUGUUACUCACCUAUCAUACAACAUCCCUAUAACAAAAGCAGGCUAAUCAGAGAAAAGUAUGAUGGAUUUAAUUUGUCAGAAGGUUUAAAAAAGUGUGUGUGCAUGCAUGCUUCUACUUGUCUGCCUGUGGGCCAAUGGGCCAGAAAAGGAUGUCAAAUCCCCCGGAAGUGGAGUUAUAGGUGGAUUGUGAGCUGCCCAGUGUGAAUGCUGGGAGCCAAGCCCAGGUCCUCUGCAAGAGUGGCAAGGGCUUUUAACUGUCCAGUCAUCAUCUCUCUAUCCCCCUAAUCAGUCUUCUGGAUCUCAGGACCUUUCAUAAAUUUCUGUGCUUAGAUUCACUGGAGAAGGGACAGUGGUAUAGAAGUGUGAUUAGAUGAAAGGCUGUGACAAAUGGUGACAUGCUAAGGGAAACUCAGCCAGGCUGUUGUGAUUCUUGUCCUCUUUGUGUAGGUAAGGAGUUCAGGUGAUACCACCCCACACUUUGUGGUGCUGGCCUACUGUUAUUUUGAACUGAAGGCAUAUGGGGAACACCAGACACAGAGUGUUCUCCAAACUCCCCCUAUCUGCUCGGAGAGAAAUGCCCCUACAUGCACUCAACUGUUACAAAUUCUCUGUCUCAACCUUCAGAUUUAUCAGGGAAGAUGAACUUGAGUAGCAGGCGGAAAAACUAGCGGUUGAUACCACGACAAUUACCUAUCACCUAGUAAUAAUUACCUAUUAUUACCUAAGAAUAUCUUUUAAACUGCAUAACUAGUCUCCCACCCGUUCCCUCCCUCCACUCUCUUAUAACUCAUGACCACAAUUCUCAGAAGACGCCCCCACACACAUACAAACUACUUCUUUUUAUAGUUCAGCUUCCAUCAUCCAACAUGACUUCAACUGCCAUACUUUGUGGAACUCUUGCACGCUCAUAGGCAACUGAAAGGUUUUCCCUUCUGAUAGACGACUCUGUGUCAAUGUAGCUUGGGCCCUGGCCAGCAAACCUGGAAAGGUGUAAGGGAGUCAUUUCCCCUUCACUGAACAUACUGUUUCCUCCCAAUGAGUAGGGAAGAACCCCUCUAGAAUGAGCUUCAAAUGACCAACUUUCUAGGGGAUUUCAGAGAAUUUCUUUUUGGCCAGCCUUGGGGUUAGAGAAGCCAGAGUGACCAGAGUCUCUUCCAUUUUCCUUUAAAUCAAAGGACCUCAAUGUUGAAUUUUUUAAGCUCUAACAUUGCAGAGUAGACUAAAACAGCACAAAUAUAUUACCUUACACCACUGAAUAACAGAAGUCUGCAAUAGGUCUUUUAGUCUAUAAUUAAGAGGGCAAACCCAUUUUCUUGCUUCUAGAGGUCACUGGCAUUUCUUGACUUGUCUUCUCUUUUUCCAUAUCCAGAGCCAGCAGUGCAACAAGUACAAAUCUCUCAAAUCUAUCUACCUACCUAUCUAUCUAUCUACCGGUCGAUCAAUUGAUCGAUCUACCUACCUACCUAGCUACCUACCUGUCUCUGAGACUGCCUUGACUCCCUUUUCCGCAUUGAAAGGCCUUUGUAGAUAUCAUGAAACCCCCAAAUAUGUCUCCUAAUAUUCAUGGCUUUUCCUUAAAUCAAGGUGGCUAGUCAGAGAAACUGCACACCAGUGAACAGUCAGAGAUGCAUAAUGAUUUUUUUUGGUAGCUUCUUCUCUGACCAGAGAAGACCUUUGGAGACUGGAGAUCAGACACUUCGCCCUGGGAGGCUUCAACUGAAGACAGAGAUCCCUCUGCACCCCGUGAACACUCCACUCCACCCUUGAAGUCCUAGGUCAUCCCCAUUGCCCCAUAGCCUAAACGGCCUUUGCUUAGCUCUAUGUUGGAUUCAGCCAUUGUGCCCCUCCUUCUUUGGGACUUGCACUGAAUCUGUGUGGCUCCCAUGUUUAGUGUAUAAUAAGUUUGUAUGUUCUUCUUCCUUAAUUAAUUUAUCUCCGCACAAACUCAAAUUAUCAAAACCUCAAAGGGGGAAAAAUGGAAACAUUCCUACUUUGCACUGAGCCCUCCUAGAUAAUAACCCAAGAAAAUUUUUCUUAUCUUGAAGUCAAUGGGUUAGAAAACUGAAUUCCAUCUUUAAGCCUUAAAAUCUUGUUCUUUCACCUUACAAAUAGUCAGUCUCCCUUAAAGGUGCUGCCCUUGAUGGGGUGACCACACUAGAGUAGAUGGCAUGAGCACAAAUUGAACUCUGUGGGUUAUUAAAAAAAACGUGAAGUUAGGAGAGUGGGACAUGGACAUAGGAGGAGGUGGCGUAGAAGGCAGGGUGUGUCUGAUCACAAAUGCAUUGUAUGAAUGUAUGACUUUUCAAAGAAUUAAUAAAAACAACAUAUUCAACAACAACAAAUUCCUAAUCCCUGUCAUCAGAGAGGCAGAGUUGAAUCCAGAGGUUCACAACCACCCAUGCUCAGCAGCCUAUGAAUCAAAUUGUCUGUGUGGAUUUUACUAUAAAAUAGAUGGUUUUAUUACAUUUCACUGUCUGGUACCUAUUAAAUGUUCUGCAUAAGUGAGUAAGUUCAGUUUUUGUGUUGUCAAUUGCCCAUGCCUAUGUUUUUCAGCUAGCCUAGAAUUUACUAUGCAGACUUGGUUAGCCUCAAACUUGCAGAAAUCUGCCUGUGCUUCCCAAGUACAAAAGGGUGUGUUGGUUUUGCCUUUUAAAGGUUGGUUUUAACAGCCCUGGAAUCACCCAGCAGCCGACAACUACAUAUUAGUCACCAGGAGCUGGAACAAUUCUUCUAUGUAUACUCCAGCUAACAAUAAUUUUGUGGUUUAGAAAAAAAUGUUCCCUGAAGGGAAGGUUUAAAUUAAAAUAAACUGAGGAGAUAUUCUAUUUACCAAACCGCCAGCGGUGCCAGUUUGGGAUGUAAAUAUUCUUUAGAAAGUCUUAUGCUAGGCACUAGGCUCCUAGUAAACUGAUGACAAAUCAGUGGCCAAGACCCUCAUACAUUACAGGACUCAUAUCAGGAAAGUGGUUUUGCCUUGAUGCAUGCUUGUGCACCAUGUAUGUGCCCAGCCCCCAUGGAAGAGAGAAGACAUCUGAUAUCCUGGAACUGAACUUACAGAUGACUGUGAGCUGCCGUAUCUUAAAUGUAGAGUUAUACAUUUCAGUGAAGCAUAGUACAAGAUGACUCAUUAGAUGGUGCCGGAUAAUAUAAGAACGCAAGAUGGCCACAACAUUUUCAUGGAGAAAUUGCAACUCAGUACAAUUUGCAAGAACUGUAUUGCCUCCUAAAGUCAUGGUUUACAAAUAAUUGCUUUUCUAAUAGCACUUUAUAGCAGAUACUCUCAAUGUUUUACAUAAUACUUUUGUAAUGAUACAAUGGCCCAUUAACUCUGACACUAGUAAAGGAAAUCUCAAACCUGU
ensembl:lncRNA